rnacentral:rRNA from 1 species
UACAGAGGUCCCAAGCGUUGUUCGGAUUCGUUGGGCGUAAAGGGUGCGUAGGCGGCGCGGUAAGUCGGGUGUGAAAUCUCGGAGCUUAACUCCGAAACUGCAUUCGAUACUGCCGUGCUUGAGGACUGGAGAGGAGACUGGAAUUUACGGUGUAGCGGUGAAAUGCGUAGAUAUCGUAAGGAAGACCAGUGGCGAAGGCGGGUCUCUGGACAGUUCCUGACGCUGAGGCGCGAAGGCCAGGGGAGCAAACGGG